rnacentral:lncRNA from 1 species
UAGGCGAACACUGCUCUGCUGCAUGACGGAGUGAUCUUUCCCUCUUAUGAAAGCCGGUAUCUCACUUUCGAAAGAGAGUCUCGACGUGGCGGUGUAGACCUAGCUCCAUAGCUGGGCUAGUCACUGGCUAGAGGGCGACCGACCUACCGGACAUGCUUCCCUUCCUUUAUGCCAUGUAAAAGCCUAAUGAGCCAAAGCUUCAUGCCCUUCUUUAGAGGCAGAGUUUCAUUGAACAGCUGAUCUUGGCGAUUCUUCUUCUUUUAUGAAAUUUCUAGUUAGGCGAACACUGCUCUGCUGCAUGACGGAGUGAUCUUUCCCUCUUAUGAAAGCCGGUAUCUCACUUUCGAAAGAGAGUCUUGACGUGGCGGUGUAGACCUAGCGCCAUAGCUGGGCUAGUCACUAGCUAGAGGGCGACCGACCUACCGGACCGGAGGCUGCCGAGAAUGUUAUGUAAAAAGGACCAAGGAGGAUCCUAUCCUAAAGGAGAAGGAGGAGGAGUAGGAGCUAGCUUCUAGUCACUAGCUAGAGGGCGACCGACCUACCGGACCGGAGGCUGCCGAGAAUGUUAUGUAAAAAGGACCAAGGAUGAUCCUAUCCUAUUGGAGAAGGAGGAGGAGUAGGAGCUAGCUUUAGGGGCC